rnacentral:rRNA from 1 species
UGGGGAAUAUUGCACAAUGGGGGAAACCCUGAUGCAGCCAUGCCGCGUGUGUGAAGAAGGCCUUCGGGUUGUAAAGCACUUUCAGUAGGGAGGAAAGGGUAAGUCCUAAUACGACUUAUCUGUGACGUUACCUAC